UACAGAGGUCUCAAGCGUUGUUCGGAUUCAUUGGGCGUAAAGGGUGUGUAGGUGGCGCGCUAAGUCGGGUGUGAAUUUCGGAGCUUAACUCCGAAACUGCAUUCGAUACUGGCGUGCUUGAGGACUGGAGAGGAGGCUGGAAUUCAUGGUGUAGCAGUGAAAUGCGUAGAGAUCAUGAGGAAGACCAGUGGCGAAGGCGGGUCUCUGGACAGUUCCUGACACUGAGACACGAAGGCCAGGGGAGCAAACGGG
rnacentral:rRNA from 1 species